GUCGACAUGAUGAGUCCCAAAUAGGACGAAAUGCGCAUCCUGGAU
rfam:Trichobilharzia regenti genome assembly, scaffold: TRE_scaffold0002770